rnacentral:rRNA from 5 species
GGGUUGUGAGGUUAAGCGACUAAGCGUACACGGUGGAUGCCCUGGCAGUCAGAGGCGAUGAAGGGCGUGCUAAUCUGCGAUAAGCGCCGGUA